UAAAGCCAAUUGAAUCACAGUCCAUAGUUCUGUCAGCAACUGUGAAAGAAACUGAGGAAUUCUGUGCUUUCUUAAUUUUUACGAUGAACAAGUGGGUGAUCUUAGCAAUACUUUUAGUCACGGCAGUUUUGAUUACCGCUGAGAAAGACGACAAAGAUGAUGCAGGUGAAGGAACAGGAAAAGGUCACUGUUUGUGGAAUGGGGAAUUGUGUCGUUGUUGUCCUGGUUUGAGCUGUGUCCACGGAAGAUGUCAAUUUUUCGUCGGAUGAUAUCACAAGAAUGACAUGCAGACGUUCAGAUAGAACGAGUAAAGCAUACAGAUGUAGGAGAAAUAUAUAUAAUUUCUUUACGUUCGCCGUGGAUAUCCAACUUUUUAUAUAUUUUUUGAAAAUAUUUUCUAUUUGAAUUUUAAAUAUCUUUCUACACGAAAUAAAAAAAUAUUUGAGAAAAACGAA